AGAAAAGCAAUGAAAAGAAGGAGUAGGUAUUUUUUACCGAGCAUAGAGAGAAGCGGACGGUGGAAGCGCUUUGUCGGGAAAAUACACGAAGUAGUCUUGGAGCUGCAGAUCGAAAGAAAUGACGUUCGUUAGUUGUUUCAAGUAGACUCUGACGGAAAUUCCCACCGUUAAAAGGGAAACGGCAUCGAGUAAAAUCCGUGCUGAUAUGAGGUAUAGUUGUAACACUUCUAUACAAAGUUAGGUGGUAACACGAGCCAUUCGUCCUAAAU
rnacentral:ncRNA from 1 species